ACAUCAACCCAAGAGCUCCUAAUCCCUAAAUUGGUGAAGGGGAAGCUUGUGAUUAAGCCUAAGGAUUAGGAUGAUAUUUUGCUAGAGGAGUAUUAGCAUUUGAGGAUCUAAGUAAGCAUUUGAUCAAGAGAGCGCUAGUAUCAAUUAUGAGCUAACGGUAGAACAAAUGUUGAGAACAUAGAAUGGUAGAUUAGUUUUCUUUUAUUGUGAGGAAGUUUUGUAAUUUAAAAUUCCUUGUAUUUGAAUUUGGAUAGUGAUAAAGCUUUAUUGGAAUAUUGAAGUUUGUAAUAAAGGCUUAGCCUGAGCAUCUAAUCUAGGAUGAUUAGGUGUAGGGUAACACCUCUUUGAAGGAUAAUUGUAGGUUCAUUAUGGUUAA